rnacentral:rRNA from 1 species
UACGAGGGGUGCGAGCGUUGCUCGGAAUCAUUGGGCGUAAAGCGAGCGCGGAUGGUCUCUUAAGUCAGGAGUGAAAGCCCCGGGCUCAACCUGGGAAGUGCUUUUGAUACUGAGGGACUUGAAUGUGGGAGAGGGUGCUAGAAUUCCUGGUGUAGUGGUGAAAUACGUAGAUAUCAGGAGGAACACCGGUGGGGAAGCCGGGUGCCUGGCCCAACAUUGACAUUUAGGCUCGAAAGCGUGGGGAUCAAACAGG